rfam:Patagioenas fasciata monilis isolate BTP2013 Sc31e1R_3240, whole genome shotgun sequence.
AUAUACAGCCACAGCACCCUGAGAAUGGCUGAUCUGGGAAGCUAAGCAGGGUCGGGCCCGGUCAGCACUUGGAUGGGAGACCAGCUGGGAGUAGCAGGUGCUGUGGGCU